GCCCCUAUAGCUCAGUUGGUAGAGCUGCUCCCUCUUAAGGAGAAGGUCCUAGGUUCGAAUCCUAGUGGGGGCA
rnacentral:tRNA from 1 species